rnacentral:rRNA from 1 species
UGGGGAAUCUUGGACAAUGGGCGCAAGCCUGAUCCAGCCAUGCCGCGUGAGUGACGAAGGUCUUCGGAUUGUAAAGCUCUUCUGGCGGGGACGAUAAUGACGGUACCCGCAGAAUAAGCCCCGGCUAACUUCGUGCCAGCAGCCGCGGUAAUACGAAGGGGGCUAGCGUUGCUCGGAAUCACUGGGCGUAAAGCGCACGUAGGCGGAUUUGCCAGUCAGGGGUGAAAUCCCGGGGCUCAACCUCGGAACUGCCUUUGAUACAGCAAGUCUAGAGUCCGGAAGAGGUGAGUGGAAUUCCUAGUGUAGAGGUGAAAUUCGUAGAUAUUAGGAAGAACACCAGUGGCGAAGGCGGCUCACUGGUCCGGCACUGACGCUGAGGUGCGAAAGCGUGGGGAGCAAA